UGAACGCUGGCGGCAGGCUUAACACAUGCAAGUCGAGCGGUAACAGGAGAAGCUUGCUUCUUGCUGACGAGCGGCGGACGGGUGAGUAAUACUUAGGAAUCUGCCCAGUAGUGGGGGAUAGCUCGGGGAAACUCGAAUUAAUACCGCAUACACCCUACGGGGAAAAGGGGGCGCUUGCGCUCUCGCUAUUGGAUGAGCCUAAGUCGGAUUAGCUAGUUGGUGGGGUAAAGGCCUACCAAGGCGACGAUCUGUAGCUGGUCUGAGAGGAUGAUCAGCCACACCGGGACUGAGACACGGCCCGGACUCCUACGGGAGGCAGCAGUGGGGAAUAUUGGACAAUGGGGGCAACCCUGAUCCAGCCAUGCCGCGUGUGUGAAGAAGGCCUUUUGGUUGUAAAGCACUUUAAGCAGUGAAGAAGACUCUAUGGUUAAUACCCAUAGACGAUGACAUUAGCUGCAGAAUAAGCACCGGCUAACUCUGUGCCAGCAGCCGCGGUAAUACAGAGGGUGCAAGCGUUAAUCGGAAUUACUGGGCGUAAAGCGAGCGUAGGUGGCUUGAUAAGUCAGAUGUGAAAUCCCCGGGCUUAACCUGGGAACUGCAUCUGAUACUGUUAGGCUAGAGUAGGUGAGAGGGAGGUAGAAUUUCAGGUGUAGCGGUGAAAUGCGUAGAGAUCUGAAGGAAUACCGAUGGCGAAGGCAGCCUCCUGGCAUCAUACUGACACUGAGGUUCGAAAGCGUGGGUAGCAAACAGGAUUAGAUACCCUGGUAGUCCACGCCGUAAACGAUGUCUACUAGUCGUUGGGGAACUUGAUUCCUUAGUGACGCAGCUAACGCAAUAAGUAGACCGCCUGGGGAGUACGGCCGCAAGGUUAAAACUCAAAUGAAUUGACGGGGGCCCGCACAAGCGGUGGAGCAUGUGGUUUAAUUCGAUGCAACGCGAAGAACCUUACCUGGUCUUGACAUAUCUAGAAUCCUGCAGAGAUGCGGGAGUGCCUUCGGGAAUUAGAAUACAGGUGCUGCAUGGCUGUCGUCAGCUCGUGUCGUGAGAUGUUGGGUUAAGUCCCGCAACGAGCGCAACCCUUUUCCUUAGUUACCAGCGGUUUGGCCGGGGACUCUAAGGAUACUGCCAGUGACAAACUGGAGGAAGGCGGGGACGACGUCAAGUCAUCAUGGCCCUUACGACCAGGGCUACACACGUGCUACAAUGGUAGGUACAGAGGGCAGCUACACAGCGAUGUGAUGCGAAUCUCAAAAAGCCUAUCGUAGUCCAGAUUGGAGUCUGCAACUCGACUCCAUGAAGUCGGAAUCGCUAGUAAUCGCGGAUCAGAAUGCCGCGGUGAAUACGUUCCCGGGCCUUGUACACACCGCCCGUCACACCAUGGGAGUUGAUUGCACCAGAAGUGGGUAGCCUAACUUUUAGAGGGCGCUCACCACGGUGUGGUCGAUGACUGG
rnacentral:rRNA from 1 species